CAUGAUUUACAUUUGAGUGAGUGGCGAACUGGUGAGUAACACGUGGGAAACCUGCCCAGAAGCGGGGGAUAACACCUGGAAACAGAUGCUAAUACCGCAUAACAACUUGGACCGCAUGGUCCGAGCUUGAAAGAUGGCUUCGGCUAUCACUUUUGGAUGGUCCCGCGGCGUAUUAGCUAGAUGGUGGGGUAACGGCUCACCAUGGCAAUGAUACGUAGCCGACCUGAGAGGGUAAUCGGCCACAUUGGGACUGAGACACGGCCCAAACUCCUACGGGAGGCAGCAGUAGGGAAUCUUCCACAAUGGACGAAAGUCUGAUGGAGCAACGCCGCGUGAGUGAAGAAGGGUUUCGGCUCGUAAAACUCUGUUGUUAAAGAAGAACAUAUCUGAGAGUAACUGUUCAGGUAUUGACGGUAUUUAACCAGAAAGCCACGGCUAACUACGUGCCAGCAGCCGCGGUAAUACGUAGGUGGCAAGCGUUGUCCGGAUUUAUUGGGCGUAAAGCGAGCGCAGGCGGUUUUUUAAGUCUGAUGUGAAAGCCUUCGGCUCAACCGAAGAAGUGCAUCGGAAACUGGGAAACUUGAGUGCAGAAGAGGACAGUGGAACUCCAUGUGUAGCGGUGAAAUGCGUAGAUAUAUGGAAGAACACCAGUGGCGAAGGCGGCUGUCUGGUCUGUAACUGACGCUGAGGCUCGAAAGUAUGGGUAGCAAACAGGAUUAGAUACCCUGGUAGUCCAUACCGUAAACGAUGAAUGCUAAGUGUUGGAGGGUUUCCGCCCUUCAGUGCUGCAGCUAACGCAUUAAGCAUUCCGCCUGGGGAGUACGGCCGCAAGGCUGAAACUCAAAGGAAUUGACGGGGGCCCGCACAAGCGGUGGAGCAUGUGGUUUAAUUCGAAGCUACGCGAAGAACCUUACCAGGUCUUGACAUACUAUGCAAAUCUAAGAGAUUAGACGUUCCCUUCGGGGACAUGGAUACAGGUGGUGCAUGGUUGUCGUCAGCUCGUGUCGUGAGAUGUUGGGUUAAGUCCCGCAACGAGCGCAACCCUUAUUAUCAGUUGCCAGCAUUAAGUUGGGCACUCUGGUGAGACUGCCGGUGACAAACCGGAGGAAGGUGGGGAUGACGUCAAAUCAUCAUGCCCCUUAUGACCUGGGCUACACACGUGCUACAAUGGAUGGUACAACGAGUUGCGAACUCGCGAGAGUAAGCUAAUCUCUUAAAGCCAUUCUCAGUUCGGAUUGUAGGCUGCAACUCGCCUACAUGAAGUCGGAAUCGCUAGUAAUCGCGGAUCAGCAUGCCGCGGUGAAUACGUUCCCGGGCCUUGUACACACCGCCCGUCACACCAUGAGA
rnacentral:rRNA from 2 species